GCACUUCUGAGGAGUCCCAUACCUAGGACGAAACGGCCGUCCAGUGC
rfam:Schistosoma mansoni strain Puerto Rico chromosome 1, complete genome